rnacentral:rRNA from 1 species
AGAGGUGGGGAUGACGUCAAUCAUCAUGCCCCUUAUGACCUGGGCUACACACGUGCUACAAUGGCUGGUACAACGAGUCGCAAGUCGGUGACGGCAAGCUAAUCUCUUAAAGCCAGUCUCAGUUCGGAUUGUAGGCUGCAACUCGCCUACAUGAAGUCGGAAUCGCUAGUAAUCGCGGAUCAGCACGCCGCGGUGAAUACGUUCCCGGGCCUUGUACACACCGCCCGUCACACCACGAGAGUUUGUAACACCCGAAGUCGGUGAGGUAACCUUUUGGAACCCGCCCCCCAAAGGGGGAUAAAAGAAUGGGGUGAAAUCCUAACAGGGUAACCGUAA